GUGAUGACAAUGCUUGCUUUAAGGGUAACAUACAAGGCACAUGUUGCUAGUAGCACCCUUGGGAAGGUCUGAGACAUAGGUAAUUAACCCUCUUGCAGGGGGCUCUCCUAAUGGAGGAGUGAGUCAAUAGAAACCAGGCUAAGCUGGGAGUUACAGCAUGUGAUGUCUAUAGACUGAUGCAAAGCUUUCAGUUCUAGUUGAAAGAGACUCAUUACCAGCAAAAGUAGUACAAUUCGCAAGAUGGUCCAAGGACCAUAACUCAAUUCAGACUACUCUGCCAUCAC
rnacentral:RNase_P_RNA from 1 species